UCUGGGGAUAUAGCUCAGUUGGUAGAGUGCUUGUCUUGCAUGUAUGAGGCCAUGGGUUCAAUCUCCAGCACAAAA
rnacentral:tRNA from 1 species